GCCCGAUUAACUCAGUCGGUUAGAGUGUCAGACUUGUAGGUCAACCCUGGAAGCCUAUCUGAACGUCGGGGUUGAGCCCCCAUCAGGCG